rnacentral:rRNA from 1 species
CAUGCAAGUCGAGGGGAAACGACAUCGAAAGCUUGCUUUUGAUGGGCGUCGACCGGCGCACGGGUGAGUAACGCGUAUCCAACCUGCCCAUCACUUGGGGAUAACCUUGCGAAAGUAAGACUAAUACCCAAUGACGUCUCUAGAAGACAUCUGAAAGAGAUUAAAGAUUUAUCGGUGAUGGAUGGGGAUGCGUCUGAUUAGCUUGUUGGCGGGGUAACGGCCCACCAAGGCGACGAUCAGUAGGGGUUCUGAGAGGAAGGUCCCCCACAUUGGAACUGAGACACGGUCCAAACUCCUACGGGAGGCAGCAGUGAGGAAUAUUGGUCAAUGGGCGAGAGCCUGAACCAGCCAAGUAGCGUGCAGGAUGACGGCCCUAUGGGUUGUAAACUGCUUUUAUAAGGGAAUAAAGUGAGUCUCGUGAGACUUUUUGCAUGUACCUUAUGAAUAAGGACCGGCUAAUUCCGUGCCAGCAGCCGCGGUAAUACGGAAGGUCCGGGCGUUAUCCGGAUUUAUUGGGUUUAAAGGGAGCGUAGGCCGGAGAUUAAGCGUGUUGUGAAAUGUAGACGCUCAACGUCUGCACUGCAGCGCGAACUGGUUUCCUUGAGUACGCACAAAGUGGGCGGAAUUCGUGGUGUAGCGGUGAAAUGCUUAGAUAUCACGAAGAACUCCGAUUGCGAAGGCAGCUCACUGGAGCGCAACUGACGCUGAAGCUCGAAAGUGCGGGUAUCGAACAGGAUUAGAUACCCUGGUAGUCCGCACGGUAAACGAUGGAUGCCCGCUGUUGGUCUGAAUAGGUCAGCGGCCAAGCGAAAGCAUUAAGCAUCCCACCUGGGGAGUACGCCGGCAGCGGUGAAACUCAAAGGAAUUGACGGGGGCCCGCACAAGCGGAGGAACAUGUGGUUUAAUUCGAUGAUACGCGAGGAACCUUACC